rnacentral:lncRNA from 1 species
GAGGCCCAACCGUUGGCCUCGGCCCUGUUGCCCUUCCCCGUGGCUUCUGCCGCUGGGGGCCUGCGUCCCCCAUUUCUCACACUUUACAAUGACUUGAGCAGCUUAACCUUUCUCCUUUCCCAUCUGCAGACCAGAACUCAUGCACCUCCAGUCUGAAGGUUACCUCUGCCACCGUGGUGUCAACUGCCCCCCUCUCCUGACCGGAACUUGCCAGGCUGACAAAUCCAGAGAUUUUUGAGGAGUUCUGAGCCACCACUGCUCAGCUACAAAAACAAAACAAAACAACAUAAAACAACUGAAGAAAAGAAGAGGAGGAGGGAGAGGAGGACAGUAAUGAAGAUAGGAUGGAGAACAGCUCUUUGUCACCUUUGGACUCCAGUGCAUUCUCAGGAAUUGGAAUAAUGUUGAUCUUUGAAAAUAUCUAACACGUGCUUGCUUGCAUGGGUGCAUGCAUGUGUGUGUGUGUGUGUGUGUGUGUGUGUGUGUUGUAGUAUAUGUGUUUAUGCACAUGAGCAGAUAGAGCCCUGAGGUAGAUGUCAGGUAAGUUUUCCACUAUUUCUGCCAUCUCAUUUUUUGCAACAGGGUCACUCAGUGAAUCAGAAUGUCACCAGACAGCUCGUUAGCAAGCUGCAGUAACGUGCCUGUCUCUGUGAGAAGUGGGCAUCAGAUCCCCUGGAAUGGUAGGUAUCACAGGUGGCUGGGAGCUACCUUGUGCUGGGAAUCACAUCCAUCUGGUCAAAUUUUAGAAGGAAUAUUAGAAAAAUAUCCUGUUGCUUUGGAAGUUAAAAGCACACAACACACACACACACAAAUAUGUAGAUGAUUUACUACUGUCAGUGGAACAAGAGAAUAAAAUUAUGAGCUCAACAGUUUAUCACUGUUGAACUUCCUGGGGGAAGAAAACUUGUAGUUCCUAAAAAGUGACAGGGGCUGGAGGGAUGGCUCAAUGGUUAAAAGCACAGGUUGCUCUUCCUGAGGAUCUGAGUUCAAUUCCCAGCACCCACUUUAGUCAGCUUACAAUUGCAAAUAUUUUUCUUAAAAGAAGUUACGAUUUGCAGAAAGCAGGCUUUAAAAGCUUAAAGGUAGACUCAAGAGAUGGUAUGAUAAGCAUAUAAGAAAUGCCUUCUAGAAAUAGCUUAAUUAGGAACCCCACUGCACCAAGGCUGCACCUAGUGACAUCACUUACUCAAGAUAACCAGGCAUGUGAAUGCAUAAGCAGAGAAUUCCAUGACACCUACUUGAGAGGAUAUAAGCAGAGACUAGUCAAGGCCCACCUGGGUUGGAGAGUUCUGAGAGAAGGGGUGUCUGAGAGCAGCGAACAAACAGCCCCAAGUCAAAUCAUGGGUCCAAGCUGGCGGCCCAUGUUCUGCUUUCUCUGGAGAUUUCCAGACAGCUCUCUAUAUUCUGCUCAAUACAAUUCUCUAAACAGCAAUCCCUUCCUAUUCUAAAAAAAUUAUCUGGAUAGCUCAUCUCCUGCAGAUCAUAAGCCCAGCCUUGCAUUUCACUUAUCAAUCCAGUCAUUUAUUCCAGGUUUCAUUUUGCUUAUUCUAUGAAUCCGCAUCCUGUGACUGCAGCCCCUUGAUUCUUAGGAGAUAGCAAGCACACAUUUUCGUUUAACAUUGCAAAAGAAUUCAGAGAUCUGCCUGCCUCUGUUAAGCUGGGUGGGGCCCCAACCUGAAAUUACCAUUUCUACCACACCUGGGCUCAGGAAUCUGUCUACCUUUGUAAGCAUAAACAAAAC